GCACCGAAAUUGGCGAGUGGGGGCUAAGCUGCAAUCUUCUUGUUACUUGGGAGGAAGGGACGGCGUGUGUGGUUUAGCUGGUUCAAUUGGAGCUCAUAAGAUAGGAACAUUCUCCAGAAGACAUUAAAGCCAGGGAGCAGUUAAAGCAACAUGUUUGGUUCAGGCAGUACCCCUGGUUUCGGGGGUUUCGGCGCGUCGACCACAUCGACGCCGUUUAACAGCUCGGCAUUCAGCAAGCCGGCCGCCGCGACGUUCGGUGCCCCAGCGUUCGGCGCGCCGGUCACGGGCGGCGCCUCCGUCUUUGGCUCCUCGGGCUCGGCGUUUGGC